UGAGGAAUAUUGGUCAAUGGGCGGAAGCCUGAACCAGCCAAGUCGCGUGAGGGAUUAAGGCCCUAUGGGUCGUAAACCUCUUUGUCAGGGAGCAAGGCCUCUCACGUGUGGGGAGGUUGGAGAGUACCUGAAGAAAAAGCAUCGGCUAACUCCGUGCC
rnacentral:rRNA from 1 species